rnacentral:tRNA from 1 species
ACGGCUGGUGGGGGCAGAUCACAGCCUUCGAAGCCGGUCGUGGGUUCGAUCCCCGCCAGCCGCGCCA